CAAAUUGUACCUACUACAAUAUCAUAUAUUGAAUUAUGAACACCAACACAAAUCCAAAAACGAACCUCACUCAUCAAUAUCAACAAUAAUUUGAGAGAAAAAGUGAUUGAUUAUAAUCAUAUUUAUCAGUAUUGUGUCAAUAUCACAUAUUAAUAUAUGUCAAAUAUUGUACAUGAUUUUCAAGUAUCAGUGUUACGUAGACAUUAAAUAUUGAUAAAAUUGAGACGAUUGAUUAAAAGAUGCAAAUAAAAAUAGGUAUUGUUCUAUCGAUAUUAAAAUUUACUUGUCUAUAAAAUAGGUCUCUCUGAGUUUGAAUUGAUAAUUAUGCAUUUUAAAGUUGUUAUUGUUUAACUUUGAUAUUUCCUAUACCUGUCACAAUUGUUAAAAUCCAAAAUUAAUUAUGUACUUCUUCAUAUGUUUCCCGGCUUUGUAUUUGAUCUUAUAAUAAAAACAAUAAUCUCAUUUUAUUUUUUCAACUGAUCUUUCCCGUAACCUACAACACACCUUCAUAAAAUUUGGAACAUUUGUUUGUGUUUUGAAUAUCUUGGAUACUCACUUUUUAUUUCAAUUAUUUUGCAGUAUCAAAGGGAAAAAUACAAAAUACAAAAUUCUUUGAAAUUAAAGAUAAAAAAAAAUUAGGUAAAGUAUAGGAGUAAGACAAUAACUAUGAAGUUACAUAGUAGAUUCAUUUGUAUACUUUAAGUGUCCAAAAAACUUAU
rnacentral:lncRNA from 1 species